rnacentral:rRNA from 1 species
GAUGAACGCUGGCGGCGUGCCUAAUACAUGCAAGUCGAGCGAACAGACGAGGAGCUUGCUCCUCUGACGUUAGCGGCGGACGGGUGAGUAACACGUGGAUAACCUACCUAUAAGACUGGGAUAACUUCGGGAAACCGGAGCUAAUACCGGAUAAUGUAUUGAACCGCAUGGUUCAAUAGUGAAAGACGGUUUUGCUGUCACUUAUAGAUGGAUCCGCGCCGCAUUAGCUAGUUGGUAAGGUAACGGCUUAACAAGGCGACGAUGCGUAGCCGACCUGAGAGGGUGAUCGGCCACACUGGAACUGAGACACGGUCCAGACUCCUACGGGAGGCAGCAGUAGGGAAUCUUCCGCAAUGGGCGAAAGCCUGACGGAGCAACGCCGCGUGAGUGAUGAAGGUCUUCGGAUCGUAAAACUCUGUUAUUAGGGAAGAACAAAUGUGUAAGUAACUAUGCACGUCUUGACGGUACCUAAUCAGAAAGCCACGGCUAACUACGUG